rnacentral:rRNA from 1 species
AACGAACGCUGGCGGCAGGCUUAACACAUGCAAGUCGAGCGCCCCGCAAGGGGAGCGGCCGACGGGUGAGUAACGCGUGGGAAGGUACCUUUUGGUUCGGAACAACUCCGGGAAACUGGAGCUAAUACCGGAUAAGCCCUAACGGGGAAAGAUUUAUCGCCGAAAGAUCGGCCCGCGUCUGAUUAGCUAGUUGGUGAGGUAACGGCUCACCAAGGCGACGAUCAGUAGCUGGUCUGAGAGGAUGAUCAGCCACACUGGGACUGAGACACGGCCCAGACUCCUACGGGAGGCAGCAGUGGGGAAUAUUGGACAAUGGGCGCAAGCCUGAUCCAGCCAUGCCGCGUGAGUGAUGAGGGCCUUAGGGUUGUAAAGCUCUUUUGUCCGGGAAGAUAAUGACUGUACCGGAAGAAUAAGCCCCGGCUAACUUCGUG